rnacentral:lncRNA from 1 species
UCGAAUACUAAGGAGUCUAUUUCGAUCAUCUACCAUUGACCAAGCAUCGAUUAAUGGUAAGCGGUCGAGCAGAGCAUAUAUAUAGAUAAUGAAGUGUACUUUCAUUUGAUGUCUUGUCUAUUCACUUAUAUUUAAUUUGCUUACUAAUGUGUGGAUGGCAAGCAAUUGAGUUGGGUACGAAAAUUUGCAACAAGAUUCAAACCAUGCCGUUCACCGAGUGGAAUAGAGGGUCAAUCGAAGAAGAGUGGCAUGAGGGAUGGAUCACAUGGCAACGAAGAGACCUACAAACCAAAAAGGUUCCACACCAAACACCACUACCAAUUCACUUGCCCUGGCC